CAGCCGUAAACUAUGCGCGUUAGGUGUACUGGUGACCACGAGUCACCGGGUGCCGAAGGGAAACCGUGAAACGUGCCGCUUGGGAAGUACGGUCGCAAGGCUGAAACUUAAAGGAAUUGGCGGGGGAGCACCACAACAGGUGGAGCCUGCGGUUUAAUUGGACUCAACGCCGGGAAGCUCACCGGAUAGGACAGACAUAUGAUAGUCGGGCUGAAGACUCUACUUGAUGAUCUGAGAGGAGGUGCAUGGCGUCAGUGACU
rnacentral:rRNA from 1 species